GGUUCCGGUGGGCCCCUGACCUCCCCAAAGAACCGGGAGAAAGAACUACCCACCCACCCACCCUCCCUGCCGGAGAGCGGCGCUUCACUCGUGCGAGUGACCGGCUUGCAGGGACGGGAUACGGGCCGUUACGUUCGCCGCGACAACCGCAAACAGAUACGGCCCCCGGCCGGGACUGGCAUCCCGAACGAGGGCCUGACCGAUCAGGAAGAGCACACUUCCCG
rnacentral:ncRNA from 1 species